AAGUUAUCUCUUCAUUCAUCUAAUACCAGCAAUAUUCAAAAAGCAUUUAAUCUUUACAAAGACAAGGAAUACAAGUCAAAUCAUCCAAAUUUACAUAUGGAAUACUAUCUGCUUCACAUAGAACAAAUGUCAAUAUACAUGAUCGCCUCUGAUGCUAGGAAAGCAUGGCACUUCUUAGCAAGCUUUUUUGACCACCUUCUUGAUUGCACACUAGAAAUAAGUCACAACCAUGAAGCAACACCAUUUUCCACCACUUUCCAUUUUUCCUUGCAGAUGAACAAUGAUUGUAGAAAUGAAUAACAUGACGAAGAAAUUAAAAUCCAUGAACUUUACAGAGUCAAGUUAAAGUUUUGAGAAAAUUUUCAAAAAUGUAAACCAAUGUCAUAAGAAGCAUGACUGGCAUGCUUUGAAGUACUAUUCAACAAUUAUGAAAAUAAAUUUUGCAAGUUGAUGAAGAAUCAAUAAUUGAUACUCUUUUUUAAGUAUUAGAUCUCUAAUGGGCCCAAGUUUGGUGCUUGACGAAUGAUAUUCAUAGGAAAGCUCAAAUAUAUCACAAUACACAAAGAUUAGAUUUCCUACAAAGGUCCAAGUAAAUAAAAUACAUUCAAUUAUAUUACAUUAAAUUAGAGGUUACUGUAGAUUCAGAUUUAGGAGGAAAAAAAUUGCACCAAUGAUACACAACUCUUCCCUUAAUAUUUUCACAUGAACAAUAAAAAAAUGGAGAUUAAUCAUUGAGAGCUAAUAGUAUCGGACCAUUGGAACCACAAUAUCUGAUGUUGAAACUCUUGAAACAAAGUACUACUAUAAUCCUUGGCAGCUGGAAACACAAGCCUUUAGUCAAUGAUUUCAUCAAUUUUUCAGUUGAAGUUAAAACAUGCGCCAAAGAGUGAGAUCUGUUUAUUUAGAAGAACCCCCGAGAACAUAUAUUCUCUAAAUCCUGGCUGCUUCAUAUUUCUCAAAAAGAAAAAAGGGAAGAAAAAAAAGAAAUAGUUGCUGCUCCAUGUCACAACAUGAGAUUUUGCGGUUCCAAACUUAACAGACACUAUUAAUCAAAAACUUCGUCUGCUAAAACGAAACAUCAACGGGGAAUUAAGGGAAACAAACCCUGCUUCACCACAGCAUCUCAAAAACCCUGCUUCACCACAGCAUCUCAGAAAGGAGAUUAAAAUGUAUACAUUUACAUCCACAUCUGGAAUCUUGGAUCAUGUAUAUAAUGACUAGAUGAAGAUGAACACAAAGAGAUGUAAACACAGGAUCAUGUAUAUAAUCGAAAGGUACGGCGAUCAAGCGCGGCACCGGAUCCACAGGGAGAGACCCUCGGUAGGUUCCUUCCCCCUUCCUCUUUCUCUUCUUCGUUUCUUUUAUUUUGUUAUCAUGGGGUAAAAGGAAAUGGGGUUAGGGUUUACCUCCGGGAAGAACCGGUUCUGAAAACCCUAG
rnacentral:lncRNA from 1 species